UACGGAGGGUGCAAGCGUUAAUCGGAAUUACUGGGCGUAAAGCGCACGCAGGUGGCUGAGUAAGUCGAUUGUGAAAGCCCUGGGCUUAACCUGGGAAUUGCAGUCGAUACUGCUCGGCUAGAGUAUGGGAGAGGGUAGUGGAAUUCCCGGUGUAGCGGUGAAAUGCGUAGAUAGUCGGGAGGAACAUCAGUGGCGAAGGCGGCUACCUGGCCCAAUACUGACACUCAGGUGCGACAGCGUGGGGAGCAAACAGG
rnacentral:rRNA from 1 species